CAGUCGCCGCGGGAAUACGUAGGGUGCAAGCGUUGUCCGGAAUUAUUGGGCGUAAAGAGCUCGUAGGCGGUUUGUCGCGUCUGCUGUGAAAUCCCGAGGCUCAACCUCGGGCUUGCAGUGGGUACGGGCAGACUAGAGUGCGGUAGGGGAGAUUGGAAUUCCUGGUGUAGCGGUGGAAUGCGCAGAUAUCAGGAGGAACACCGAUGGCGAAGGCAGAUCUCUGGGCCGUAACUGACGCUGAGGAGCGAAAGCGUGGGGAGCAAACAGGAUUAGAUACCCCCGUAGUCCCUGUCUCUUAUAC
rnacentral:rRNA from 1 species